UGCGGCUGGAUCCCCUCCUUUCUAAGGAUCAUGGCGGAUAGAGCUGCUCACGCACUCUUCCUCCUGUCCACAGAACAUUGCCGCCGUCCUCAUGUCCCUUCAUCCUGGAAACGCUUCCCUUAGGGGGAGUGCAGCCUGAGCUGGCUCACGCCGCCUGCGGCCUUUUUGGCCAGCGCGGCGAAGCGGGGGCCGGUAGCUCAGGUGGUUAGAGCGCACGCCUGAUAAGCGUGAGGCCGGAGGUUCGAGUCCUCCUCGGCCCACCAUCGCUCGAUAAACCAAAGGGGCCUUAGCUCAGUUGGGAGAGCGCUAGCUUUGCAAGCUUGAGGUCAUCGGUUCGAUCCCGAUAGGCUCCACCAGGUUUCCGAAUAUGAAGACCAGAAAUCCGCCGGUUCGCCGGCGGUCGGGGCGGAAGCCCCUCUUUGACAUUGUGAAUGGGUUCUAGAAAUCGAUGCCGUGGUUAGGCAGCUGAGCCGCCGCAGCGGCACGCUUCAUGCGUGCUGGUGCGACCGGAACAGCAGUCUGAUUACAAAUUAAUUGAUUAUCUAGCUGAGCGGGUCCGUCCUCCCUGGCGUUGGGCGGAUCUGUUAAAACCAGACCACCGGAUAUCGGCACCUGUGUAAUGCAAGCAGGAUUGUCGAUGGUGGUGUGGAUUCUCAAGCGUGAGGUAAGGGCAAUUGGUGGAUGCCUUGGCAUACACAGGCGAUGAAGGACGUGGCACGCUGCGAUAAGCUGCGGUAAGGUGUGAGCAAACUUUGACCCGCAGAUUUCCGAAUGGGGAAACCCGGAA
rnacentral:misc_RNA from 1 species